rnacentral:lncRNA from 1 species
ACACCAUAAAUGAUUCUUUUCCGGGUGGGUUUACCUUUACUAUCUUCUUUCGGCAUUGAAUCUCAGCAUCGUUGGCGCUAAGCCAAUCCAUACCCAAAACGAUGUCGAAACCGUUUAACUCUAUGGGUAAUAGCUCUUCGUGGAAUUCGUUUCCGUUUAGGUCAAUGACGAUGUUCCUAAUACGAUUACUAACAGGUACGAAUUUGCCACUGGCAACUUCUACAAUCAGGGCAUUAUCUAGUUUUUCUACAGGCAAUGCUAAUUUCCCACCAAAUUUAUGCGACACAAAGGAGUAGUUGGCUCCGGAAUCAAAUAGUAUAUUUGCAGGCAAACCAUUUACAAGAAAGGUACCUGAAGCGACGUCUGCUGCCUCCUUUGCAGCCUCGAGCGUCAUCUGGAAGGCUCUCGCCUUCGGCUUCGGUGGUAUGUUGGGUCUUCCUGUCUCCUUCUUCUUCGGGCAGUCCUUCAAAAUGUGCCCUUCUUCAUUGCACCCAUAACAGGCUUUCUGGUUGAGGGUGCAUUCAUUGGCGUAGUGCCCAGGCUUUCCGCACUUGUAACAAGUGACCCCUCCGUCACACUUCCCAGAGUGCUUCUUCUUGCACUUGUCACACCACUUCGCUUCUGAUCCUCCUCCCCUCGAACCAGACUUCGAGAAUCUACUCUUCUUGUUGGACUUCGAGGAUCCAUUGAACUUCCGUUUCUCACCAACCUCAGCCCUCUCCAGACCUCUUUCCUUUUGUUGGGUCUCCACGUUCUUAGCUGCUCGAACAGCUGAUUUCAGAGUGGUUGCCAUCUUGACUGUUGGGCCAAAGUCAGCCGGCAGUCCGUUUGCGAAUUUCUCAAUUUUGGAAAGUUCGGUUGGCACUAGGUAUGGAAACAACUUCAUCUUUUCCGUAAAUGCAGCAGCAUAGUCAUCGAUGCUCAUUCUCCCCUUCUUCAAAUUUUGGAACUCAUUGUUCAGAUCAAUCAGGUCUAUCUCUGAACAGUACUGCGCCUUCAGUUGUUCCAAGAACUCAUCCCAUGACAUUUUCAGAGCUUCUCCCCGUGGCAUUGUAUCUGCCAAUAGCUUCCACCAGCUCAAGACUCCAGUUUUCAAUUGUCUCACAGCGAAGACAGUCUUCUGCUUCUCGCUGCAGUCGCAGCUCUCAAACACCAUCUCCAUCUCGGAGAUCCAGUCCAUAAUCUCAACAGGCUUUGGGCUUCCUGAGAGACUUGGUGGUUUCGCACCCAAGAAAUUUUUGUACAUCCGCCCAUCCUUGUUGUUUCUCCCUUCUGGGCCAUCCUUUUGCUCACCUUGAGUCCCUACUUGACUCACUUGGCGGCUAUAGUUCCCUUCCUCAGAUGGCUCGGGAACUGGCUCCGUCGGUUCAACAUGUAUGGUAGGUUCGUCCCUAUUUUCGUGGAGCAUCCGUCUCAUUUCUUCCCUUUGUUCAGCUAGCAUAGCCUGAAUCAUGGCUUGAACUCCAGCCAUGGUGACUGGCUCAGGUGCAACUUCUUCAACAACAGGUAUUUGCUGAACCACUGGGGGUUGGUUCCUACCUCCAUUUGCGUUCACGUUUCCGCUACGGGUCCUUGCCAUCUUGAUCUAUACACCGAAUAAGGUGAAUUUAGAUCUUUAUUUAGGAUAGACGUUUUAAAUCGUCCUUAUCACUCCGAAACGUUUACAUGCUAGUUCUAAUAUCGUAGUCGUACGUUUAGAAUCCUAAACACAUAAGGUUUCCAGAUCCGGUCGGCAACAGACCAUAGAUCCGAACAAUUAACAGCAUAUUAUGCACAAAGCAUUUAGCACAUAAAAGCAUUUUAGGCACAAUUCCUAAAAUAAGCUAGUGCUCACACCUCACAAUCAUCGCUUAGCAUUCUAAGUUUAAGUCUAGAAAUCCUACAAAUUCCUAGUUCGCUUAAACUAAUGCUCUGAUACCAACUGUGACAUCCCCAAAAUCACGGCCAGAAAAGACCGGUUUGUUUAUGCUUUGUUUAAAAAUCAGAGUUACAUUUUAAAUGAAAGUGUUGCGGAAUUUGUCCCAAAACAAAAAUAUGAUAAAGAUUUAUCAAAAGCAUUUCCAUAGAAAUGUAUUUCAUUAAAAGACUCGGGAUGUCAUGUUCGUACAGAUCAAAAGCAUAAACAGUACAAUAUAAGCCUUACUACAUUAUUUCAUAUCUACAGGCCUAUAUCCGUAAUCCCUCGUCCAAAACAUCACACCUAUGCUCAUGCGCCACUACCUGUAAUACAUAAAACUGAGUGGGUCAGGCUUGGGAGCCUGGUGAGCACAUAGGGUUUUCAACCCACAAUAAAUAAGUUUAUUAAUUUCAUCGAUCAACAAUAACCCGAUUACCCGUUCCCGUUAUCCUCACUUUACGUCCCUAAACACCUAUCAUAAGGGACCUAGCCUAAGGAUCAUCAUCGGGACGGACACUACUGCUAAGGGGAUUCCUCAGCAAUAAAUGUCCUAAAGGCAACCAUGUGGGGGAUGGAGUACACCGGUGAACAUAUCGUUCACAAACACCUACAGGUUGCGAGCCUGCUAGUGUUCCACUGGACUGUCUAGAAGAGUCCGUGGUCGUCAUCCAUACUCCGCUAGAUGACAGAAUCAACAACAUCAACAUCGAGGCCUCUCAUCAUUUUAUCACACAUCACCUAUUGCAUCUACCCAUGUUUUACCCCAACAUUUUCGUAGAUAUAAAAUACAUAUACAGUUUAAAUCAUUGAAAACAUGUAUAACAACGUUCAUCUAGCAUAGAUAGCAAGUAUUCAGAUAAUAUGCACACAUAGCACGUAAUUUAUAUAAAAUACUUCAUAUCUAUGUGUAAGUUGAAAGUAACUAUGCACUCACUUGUUAAGGUGAUGAUUCCAAAAUCGGGCAGCGCUUGCUUCUAACGAUUCUAUUUUCCUUCGACGAAACCUAGCAUUAUUAUCGCUAAAUUUUAGUCUAAUAUUUACCGUGACCAACUAUUAGUCUUAGUAUUAUUAUUAUUAUAUAAGCGUUAAACAAUAUUUUCCAACCACUAUGUACAGACAGGGGCCAGACAUAAAACACCGGAGGGCAGGACCAUUUUGGCAUAUAGCACUUCUGAAAUCCAACAACCCUAUGCGGCCCUUUAAACCAGAUUCCCCGUACCGCGAGUAGUUAAAAAAAAUAUUAUAACGACACUUAUAUAAGUUAUAAUAAUAGCUCAAAUAUUUAUUAUAAGUUCAUAAUAACAAUACUAAUUUUAAAUAUAAGCUAUAUUAAAAUAAGGUAAGCAUAACUUACUUACAAGGGGGUUUUAGCUAGGAGUCGGGCUCUGCAGGGGCAGAACUUCGUCGCUGAAUCUUUCUAAGAAAGAUUCGUGCAGCGCUUCAGCGCUCACCUUACUAUACUAAGCUACAGAAAGAGAAGUCGAAUCACGAGGGACCGAAAUGCUCGGGGGAUAAGGAGAGAAAGACUCUUGAAUCAAGAGAAUGGUGCAAGAAAUAUGAGAGCCCAAGGCUCUUAUUUAUACUAAUUGAAUUUUCAAAAACUACCCUCCAUAAUUACUUAAUGACCUUUUAGUUAUAUAAACAACUAAACACCCCUCUAUAAUACUAUUAUAAAUGGAUUUAAUGAUAUUUGUACUAAACUAAUGUCGAAAGAACUCAACAUUAGUCUUAUAAUGACCGCAUCGUCGAUACCUUUCUAAUGAUAUAUACAUAUGUAUAUAUAUGUGUACGUAUACAUGAUUUAUACUUUAUUUUAAUACGUAAAUAUGCUAUUAUAAUUUGUAACUCGUUCAUACGAACUCCGUUUUUGACGUUCUUUAUAUCCACGCGUAGGUGAAGACGUACUCUACAACUUUCGUUUAGACUCCGUCGGCUAAUUUUGACUUUAUUUUUAAAGUUAUAUUUUUAACAAGCCGGGACAGGAUUGGUCUGUUUAAAAUCUCAUAACUUCUUCAUACGAAGUCAGAUUUGGGCGUUCUUUUUAUCGAUGUUCUUAGUUUAACAUAUUCUACGACUUUCGUUUAGAUCACUAAGGCUAAAUCUCGCUCUAUCGUAAAUUCACUAUUCACGCUUCCCGGUAUCGUGCCGGUUCUGUCGUGAAACUUCGACGGGUCAUAACUUCUUCGUUAUAACUCGGAUUUCGGCGUUCCUUAUAUGCACGGAAACCUUGAGACAUAUUCUACAACUUUAUGUAGAGAUAUCGGGAUUAUCUCACACUUUAAUUUUGACGCUCAUUUUUAUUCUUUAUUAAUUAUACAUUUAUAAUUAAAUAAUAAACACAUAUAAUUCACAUAAUACUCAAAUAUUUCAUCUUUAUUACUUCAAAAAGAGUUACAAGAGUUGACCUAGACUAUUACAUUGACAAAAAUGCUUAGCCCUGAAACCCGGGCGUUACAAUUCUCUCCCCCUUAGGAUGAUUCCGUCCCGGAAUCAUGCAUCAGCAAACAGAUGUGGAUAGCGACUCAUCAUGUCAUCCUCUGUUUCCCAAGUGAGAUUCGGCCCAUUCGAAUGUUUCCAUCGGACUAGCACCAAGUCGACCAUCUUGCGUCGUAACUUCUUAGUCUUACGGUCAACAAUUGCCUCAGGCUCUUCGAUCAACCUUUUAUUUUCAUCCAUCCUUAACUCUGAGAUUGGAAUUAUGUCGGGAACAUCUCCCGUGAAUUUCCUCAAAUAACACACAUGGAAGGUGUUAUGAAUACCAUUGAGUUCUUCGGGCAAUUCCAGCUUGUAAGCUUGGUUCCCUAUCUUCUGAAGAACUUUGAACGGUCCAAUAAACCUUGGACUCAACUUUCCUCGUUUCCCAAAUCGUAUAAGUCCCUUCCACGGUGAGACUUUAAGCAAAACGGAAUCCCCAACUUCGAAAGUUAUCGGUCGUCUUUUCUUGUCAGCAUAGCUCUUCUGACGAUCCUGGGCUGCUAACAUCCUUUCCCUAAUCACCUUCAACUUCUCAGCAGUCUCAUGGACUAUCUCGGGGCCCAUAAACUGCUUCUCUCCGGCUUCAAGCCAACAAGACGGCGUACGACACUUCUGCCCAUACAAGGCUUGAUAAGGAGCCAUCUUGAUGCUCGAGUGAAAACUAUUGUUGUAGGAAAAUUCUACCAGAGGUAAGUGCUCGUCCCAAUUCCCUUGGAAUUCGAGGGUACAUGCUCUCAGCAUAUCUUCCAGCGUCUGAAUCGUUCUUUCGCUCUGACCAUCAGUUUGCGGAUGAUAAGCAGUACUCAAACACAACUUUGUACCUAACUCCUCUUGUAGACUCCUCCAAAACCUUGACGUGAAACGACUAUCACGAUCUGAUACAAUCGUAAGAGGGACACCGUGAAGUCUUACAAUUUCCUUCACGUAAGCAUUUGCGAGCUUAUCCAUAGACCACUUCUCGUUGGCUGCUAUGAAGUGUGCACUCUUGGUGAAACGAUCCACGACUACCCAAAUCAUGUCGUGACCGUUCUUCGUCCUGGGCAGUUUAGUCACAAAAUCCAUGGUGAUGUCUUCCCAUUUACCCAUGGGUACAGGUAAAGGUUCUAAACUCCCAUACGGUUUCUGAUGUUGUGCCUUAACCCUCGCACAUGUUACGCACUCGGCCACAUACUUCGCAACAUCGAGCUUCAUCGUCGGCCACCAGUAGUAGGGUUUUAGGUCCCUAUACAUUUUAGUGCUACCGGGAUGAAUCGAGUACAUGGUCUUGUGUGCUUCUUCCAUCAGAAGAUCUCUUAUUCCUCCCGUCUUAGGUACCCAAAUUCGAUCUUGGAAUACCUUCAGUCCUCGACUGUUUGUACCAAACACUAACGUUCUUCCCAAACGUUCUUCCUUUCGGUCAUUUUUCUCUAAAGCUUCUUCUUGAGCUUUCCUGAUACUUUCCACAAUCGUCGAGACGACUUCAAUUCUUAACGCUCUUGGCCUUUUCCUUUCCAGAUUGACUUUCCGACUGAGAGCAUCAGCAACAAUAUUUGCUUUACCUGGGUGGUAAAGUAUCUCACAGUCGUAGUCCUUGAGAAGUUCUAGCCAGCGUCGUUGCCUCAUGUUCAACUCCUUCUGAUUAAAGAGAUACUGGAGACUCUUAUGAUCAGUGAAGAGCUUGCACUUCGUGCCGUAGAGGUAAUGCCUCCAUAUCUUUAAGGCAAAAACUACCGCUGCCAACUCCAGAUCAUGAGUGGGGUAGUUCUUUUCGUGCUCUUUCAAUUGUCGAGAUGCGUAUGCUAUCACCUUUUCUCUUUGGGUCAGAACACAACCCAACCCGACUCCAGAAGCGUCACUAUAAACCGCGAAAUCUUCGACUCCAUCGGGUAGAGAAAGUAUCGGUGCUUCACAUAACUUCUUCUUUAGCUUCUCGAAUGCCUCAUCGUGUUUCUCACUCCACGUAUACGUAGCUCCUUUAUGAGUCAAAGCUGUUAAUGGAGCAGCUAUCGAAGAAAAGCCUUGGAUAAAUCGUCGAUAAUAUCCGGCUAAUCCUAGAAAGCUUCGAAUCUCCGUGGGACUCUUUGGACGUUCCCACUUCAUUACAGCCUCGAUCUUUGCGGGGUCAACCAUUAUUCCCUCCUGGUUAACAACAUGACCCAAGAAUUGGACUUCCCGUAUCCAAAAGUCGCAUUUGGAGAACUUUGCAAAAAGCUUCUCCUUCUUCAACACUUCUAAUACUUCCCGUAGAUGCUUGCCAUGCUCCUCUUGGCUUUUCGAGUAGAUGAGAAUGUCGUCGAUGAACACUAUCACGGAUUUAUCGAGGAAUGGUUUACAAACCCUAUUCAUCAAAUCCAUGAAUGCUGCGGGAGCAUUGGUUAGCCCGAAUGACAUAACCAAGAACUCGUAGUGUCCAUAUCUCGUUCUGAAUGCAGUCUUCUCAAUAUCCUGCUUUCUCACCUUUAGCUGAUGAUAUCCUGACCUAAGAUCGAUCUUUGAGAAGUAGCUCGAACCUUGCAGCUGAUCGAAUAGGUCAUCAAUCCUCGGCAAUGGAUACUUGUUCUUCACCGUUGCCUUAUUCAGCUCUCGGUAGUCUAUACACAUUCUCAUACUUCCGUCCUUCUUCUUCACGAAUAACACCGGAGCUCCCCAGGGUGAUGAACUAGGUCGAAUAAAACCGUUGUCCAACAGCUCCUGAAGUUGCGUCAUGAGCUCCUUCAUCUCCGUCGGUGCUAAUCGGUAAGGUGCCUUUGCUAUCGGUGUUGUUCCUGGUAACAAGUCUAUACGAAACUCCACUUGCCUAUCAGGUGGUAAUCCGGGAAGAUCUUCGGGAAAGACUUCCGGAUAAUCACACACAACCGGUAUAUUCUGCACCUCUUUCUUCUCCUUCUUGGCAUCGAUUACGAAUGCCAAGUAUGAUGCACAUCCCUUUGACAAACAUUUCCUGGCUUUCAUCAGGGAGAUGAUUCCAGAAUUCACUCUGCGUUUGUCCCCAUACACCAUAAAUGAUUCCUUUCCGGGUGGGUUCACCCUUACUAUCUUCUUUCGGCAUUGAAUCUCAGCAUCGUUGGCGCUAAGCCAAUCCAUACCCAAAACGAUGUCGAAACCGUUUAACUCUAUGGGUAAUAGCUCUUCGUGGAAUUCGUUUCCGUUUAGGUCAAUGACGAUGUUCCUAAUACGAUUACUAACAGGUACGAAUUUGCCACUGGCAACUUCUACAAUCAGGGUAUUAUCUAGUUUUUCUACAGGCAAUGCUAAUUUCCCACCAAAUUUAUGCGACAC